GACGAACGCUGGCGGCGUGCUUAACACAUGCAAGUCGAACGGAAAGGCCCUGCUUUUGUGGGGUGCUCGAGUGGCGAACGGGUGAGUAACACGUGAGUAACCUGCCCUUGACUUUGGGAUAACUUCAGGAAACUGGGGCUAAUACCGGAUAGGAGCUCCUGCUGCAUGGUGGGGGUUGGAAAGUUUCGGCGGUUGGGGAUGGACUCGCGGCUUAUCAGCUUGUUGGUGGGGUAGUGGCUUACCAAGGCUUUGACGGGUAGCCGGCCUGAGAGGGUGACCGGCCACAUGGGGACUGAGAUACGGACCAGACUCGUACGGGAGGCAGCAGUGGGGAAUAUUGCACAAUGGGCGGAAGCCUGAUGCAGCAACGCCGCGUGCGGGAUGACGGCCUUCGGGUUGUAAACCGCUUUCGCCUGUGACGAAGCGUGAGUGACGGUAAUGGGUAAAGAAGCACCGGCUAACUACGUG
rnacentral:rRNA from 1 species